GCAAGUCGAACGAUGAUCCUGGAGCUUGCUCUGGGGGAUUAGUGGCGAACGGGUGAGUAACACGUGAGUAACCUGCCCUUGACUCUGGGAUAACCUCCGGAAACGGAAGCUAAUACCGGAUAUGACGCACGGAGGCAUCUCCUGUGCGUGGAAAGAAUUUCGGUCAAGGAUGGACUCGCGGCCUAUCAGGUAGUUGGUGAGGUAAUGGCUCACCAAGCCUACGACGGGUAGCCGGCCUGAGAGGGUGACCGGCCACACUGGGACUGAGACACGGCCCAGACUCCUACGGGAGGCAGCAGUGGGGAAUAUUGCACAAUGGGCGAAAGCCUGAUGCAGCAACGCCGCGUGAGGGACGACGGCCUUCGGGUUGUAAACCUCUUUUAGUAGGGAAGAAGCGAAAGUGACGGUACCUGCAGAAAAAGCACCGGCUAACUACGUGCCAGCAGCCGCGGUAAUACGUAGGGUGCAAGCGUUGUCCGGAAUUAUUGGGCGUAAAGAGCUCGUAGGCGGUUUGUCGCGUCUGCUGUGAAAUCCCGAGGCUCAACCUCGGGUCUGCAGUGGGUACGGGCAGACUAGAGUGCGGUAGGGGAGAAUGGAAUUCCUGGUGUAGCGGUGGAAUGCGCAGAUAUCAGGAGGAACACCGAUGGCGAAGGCAGUUCUCUGGGCCGUAACUGACGCUGAGGAGCGAAAGCGUGGGGAGCGAACAGGAUUAGAUACCCUGGUAGUCCACGCCGUAAACGUUGGGCGCUAGAUGUGGGGACCAUUCCACGGUUUCCGUGUCGCAGCUAACGCAUUAAGCGCCCCGCCUGGGGAGUACG
rnacentral:rRNA from 1 species